GACGAACGCUGGCGGCGUGCUUAACACAUGCAAGUCGAGCGGUAAGGCCCUUCGGGGGGUACACGCGCGGCGCACGGGAGUGUAACACGUGUGAAACCCGCCGCACGUCUGGGGAAAACUGCCGGACACGGUGUAUAACCCCGGAUAUGACCCUCUCACGCAGGGGGGGUGGGGAAAAGUUUUCGGGUGGUGGGGGGUGGGCUCGCGGCCUAUCUGUUGGUUGGUGGGGUGAUGGCCUACCAAGGCUCCGACGGGUAGCCGGCCUGAGAGGGUGACCGGCCACACUGGGACUGAGACACGGCCCAGACUCCUACGGGAGGCAGCAGUGGGGAAUAUUGCACAAUGGGCGAAAGCCUGAUCCAGCAACGCCGCGUGAGGGAUGACGGCCUUCGGGUUGUAAACCUCUUUCGCCUGGGACGAAGCGAAAGUGACGGUAGCAGGUAAAGAAGCACCGGCCAACUACGUG
rnacentral:rRNA from 1 species